GGAGAUGUGUAUAAGAGACAGGUGAGUCAUCGAAUCUUUGAACGCACAUUGCGCCCCUUGGUAUUCCGAGGGGCAUGCCUGUUCGAGCGUCAUUAUAACCCCUCAAGCUCAGCUUGGUGUUGGGGCCUGCUGCACUGGCAGCCCUUAAAAUCAGUGGCGGCGCCAUCUGGCUCUAAGCGUAGUAAUUCUUCUCGCUAUGGAGUCCUGGUGGAUGCUUGCCAUCAACCCCCAAUUUUUCUAUGGUUGACCUCGGAUCAGGUAGGGAUACCCGCUGAACUUAAGCAUAUCAAUAAGCGGAGG
rnacentral:misc_RNA from 1 species